AUAACAUUUCAUGUUAUUGGAAAAAAACUAAAAGAAAAAUGGACUUUUUCAAAGCCACAGAUGUUCUUCCAAUCCAGGGAAAAAGCACCCAUGGAGAAACAGCCUGAACUUCCAUGAGACGAUCUGAAGCUGGACUCAUUCUGUAGCAGGAGGGACUGAGAAUACAAAUGUAAGGGGAAUUGCAUCACCACGACAUGUAGCAUAUUAUUUAUUAAUGCUCUGAAGAGUACAGCUGCCCAAAAGAGAUGGUCUCACUGAAAAGUUGGCUUUGCAUGGGAAAAAUAUUCCUGGUGAAAGUGCUUGUAGAAGGGAAAAAGGAGGCCAUGCCACAUUUGCAAAAACAGAUUACACAUCAGUGGAUGAACAACUCAAGAGGAGAGCUCACUGGAACACAAAGAUGUGAAUGGCUGAACCAUUCUUGACAGGAGCUCAAAAGAAUCAUAGAAUGGCCUGGGUUGAAAGGGACCUCAAAGAUCAUCUAGUUUCAACCCCCCUGCUGAGUGCAGGGUUGCCAACCACUAGACCAGGCUGCCCAGAGCCACGUCCAGCCUGGCCUUGAAUGCCUCCAGGGACGGGGCAUCCACAACCUCCUUGGGCAACCUGUUCCAGUGAAAAGAAG
rnacentral:lncRNA from 1 species